rnacentral:rRNA from 1 species
UACGUAGGGGGCUAGCGUUGUCCGGAAUCAUUGGGCGUAAAGCGCGUGUAGGCGGUCCGGUAAGUCCGCUGUGAAAGUCGGGGGCUCAACCCUCGGAUGCCGGUGGAUACUGUCGGGCUUGAGUACGGAAGAGGCGAGUGGAAUUCCUGGUGUAGCGGUGAAAUGCGCAGAUAUCGGGAGGAACACCAGUAGCGAAGGCGGCUCGCUGGGCCAUUCCUGACGCUGAGACGCGAAAGCUAGGGGAGCGAACAGG